UUGUAAAUGAUAGGGAUAGAGCAUGGGUCCAAAAUCUUCCGAGUAUUCUUUUAAAUCUGCACUUCUCUGUUGGAUUUUUUUGUACAUUUACUAAACAGUGUUGUUGACUUUAAGAAUAUGCUGUAUGAACAGUUUUUAAAUCUAUAGCUUUCAAGAAAAUCAAAGAAAAGUGAUGUGCCAUGAAUGUAGCCUCAUUCAACAGGACUGCUGUCAUUAAAGUUGCUACACAUCAACUGUACCUGUUUGCAUGUUCGUCAAAAACUAAGCCUGAGAUUCUACAACAUUUUAAGUGAAAAUGCAUCAUUUUUAUAUAUGUGUUUCAAAAGAGGUUCACGUUCACACGGCGACAUUUUGAAAAUAUCUGUAUUCUGGCUAAAAUUCCCAACAUCUUUUAGUUCACUGGAUGUCCUGAAUACAAUCAGUGCCAAACCAGUCAGUUUUACUGAUCUUAAUAUAGUGUUGAUACAGUGUUUUUGCUUCUUUCUUUCAGUUUCUGAAAGAGCAGUACAACCGUAUGGGCAACCUUUUGAUAUAUGUUGGUCUGUUAUUUGUUCUGCAAACCAGAGUCUCAUCAGAUAGAGGUAAACUGUUCUUUAACUGUUCCAGAAAAGCACCAAUCAGCUCUAAUAUUAUGACAACCUGCUUAAUAUUGAACUUGUUCCCCUUCUGCUAAAGGCAUUUUUGAUAUUGCUGCGCUCAUUGUCAUGAUCAUCCUACAUCUCAUCAACAGGAAUGUGCAUCCACAAAAUUCAAAAAGUUCUUUCCCAAAGCCUGUCCUGAAAACCAUGUCUGUAUUUCUGCAUAGAAACAACGUCAUGUCUUUAUUAGAGGAAACACUUCUUUUUUGCGUUUUCAUUUCACAAACACUUUGGGUUUCCAUGAUGUUGAAAACAAUGUCUGUUUUACACGGAAACAGCAGAAGAACUGAAAAUGCUGCUGCAUGCUGGGGCACAAGUUGUCACUACAAACUUUAAUAAUGAAACAGUGGCGGGUACACGGACAUUCGUAUGGACAAGAAGAGCUGAGCAAUAGCGGGUAUGCACAUGUUUGUUUGAUAUUUUCUUCUUUGCUUGUAACGAAGACUUGUUUCUAUAUAUUUACAAAAAAUAUUGUGUGUACAUCUGAAUAAAGGCCUAAACUGAACUGACUUGUAGUUUUGACAUCAACUGAUGGGCUAGAAGAAGGACUCUUGUUCUAAAUUGAUUCUGAAGGAAUCACUCUGCACAGCGGGGGUCCUCAGAGCUCUGUAAGACAAAGGCGAUCAGAGUAACGGAAAAUACAACUUUGUGAAAGCUCCCUGAAUCCAUCUGCAUGAAAACAGGGCGAAAGGUAAGUUUUCUGAAACGCGGCUCACUGCCCAGCCGUAGUAAAGAGCUCUGGGAGUAGGUGGACAACUGCAACAACGGCGGCCUCCAGAGUGGCGUGACUCCCAGUCACAACAAGAGGCCACUUUUAUCUGAACUGUGAUUUAAAAAAUAAAUGAAUUAAUUAAAUUUUCUAAAUAUGUGUUUGGUUAAACGUAAGUUCUUUUUUUCCCCUCAUGCAUUCCCAUUUAUUUUGGGGAGAGAUUUUUUUUCUCCCUCUUACAACCAAAAGUUUACACAUCUGUUUAAAAUCAGUUCUCCAGCUCACACACUGCACUUUUUCCUCUUGAAUGAAUGUAAAAGAUUACACAGUCACUGACUAUAUAUUUGCUGUUAUUGUUUUAAAUAUAUGUUGUUCAUUUUCUUUUCUGUUGCUCCUGUUCCUGAUUUACUGUCCGCUGACUGCUGUAAUGACACCAUUUUGACCAUCGUGGGAAAAAUAAAGGAAUAAAUAUCUAAUCACCUCUGUGUGUGCGUGUGUGUAUCUGGAUGAUCGUAUGAAGCGUUCACAGUGAUGCAAUGCAAUUCUUCAAGUGGGUCACUCGGUUCUUGAACACCAGUCGUUUUCAGCCCUGCAGAAUCCAUCAUGCCAGCACACAUACACAUUAAUGCUACCUUACUGAUACCCUUUCAUAGUAACUUAUACUUUAUUGAUUUUUAUUAUUCUGCAGGAUUAGGGUGGAGCUAUCCAAUGUGAGAAUGUGGGAAUCAACUGUCCGCUCAACAUUCCAUAGUUUUCCAGGAGCUGAUCGGACGGGUAGUUGGCACAGCUCACUGUUUGUGUGGUCUGUGAGCUGAGCCAGAUCGUCUUCUUAUUUGACAUACAGCAUCUCCUUCUGUAUUCUCCCCGUGUUCCUCUUGUGUUAAUUGACCUCAGCCUGCUUUUGGUUUCUCUCUUGCAUCGCGCUGUGGACACUUUAGCCUCUGGAUUUUCUAUGGUGAUCCUUGAUGCUCCAGCCUGACAGACAAGCCCAGGCUGCGUUUCAUUUAGAUUAAUCUUGGGUUGUAUUUUGUCGCAGUUACUCUAGCUUGAAGUAACGUUUGCUAUUUAUCAGAAAGAGAAAAGAAAAGAAAACAAGUGUUGUGUAACGUGAGUAGGCAAGUGUCAACAUGCAGCAAGUUGAAAGAUUUUAACAGGGGGAAAGAAAGAUGCCACUUUUUUCCAUUUUGCAUCUCAGAUGCUGUGUAACGUUGGACAUUAAGUCAGCAUGCAGGUUUCUCAUGGCAGUCCACUCCCUUAUCCUUUGUCUGUGUUGUUGUACCUUUCGAUUCUGUCACCAUCAAAGUCAGGAAAGUCCCCGGGCCAAGCAUGGUGUGUGACACUAUAAAUUUUAGACAGUAGUUACCAAUCCUGUUCAGUUGUCUGUGAUUCCCGGGAAAGAAACAAGUUCUCCGUCGGUUUCUCAAGAAGGCAGAACUUCCAGUAUGGGCAACCUUUUAAUAUAUGUGGGUCUGUUAUUUGUUCUGCAAACCAGUGUCUCAGACGAAGUCGUAUCACUGAACUGCAGGGAUCCUGGUUCAGUCCAAUUUGGAGAAUCAGCGACCAUCAACUGCUCCAUCGAAUGGAAGAAAGAUCAGAACUGCCGUGUCGAUCACUACGUUUUCAAAAAUAACAAUGUCGACAUGUGUAGCGGCACUCUGCCUGGCAACGGGUGCGAAUCUGAUAACCGGACUUACAUAUCCCUGACCAUCUCUGAGGUCCUCAAGGAGGAAACGGUUGACAUUGAACUUCAUUCGAUACAUGGACACGAUUUUAAGUCUGUUGUAGUGAAGCCAUACGGUGAGCCCAAGACAACACCACUACCACCAAACAAGACCAAGACCAUCACAUCAGAACCACUUCAUCUUGGUGUCGCAGUGCAGCUAUACGGGAAGCUCAAGACAUCACCACAGUCGGGAGACUCCAAGAACACAGAGAAAAAGAGCGGAAGCAUGAUUUCACCCGUCAUUUUUGGUGUCGCUGUACUCCUCAUCGUUUCAUUCGCUCUGUAUAUCACCUACAGGGCAACUACAUCCAGAAAUCAAUUCAUCCACCUUCCAAAGCAGAUAGAAGGGUGGAUUUAUGAAGAACUGUGAAAAGUUACAAUGGUCAACCUUUUACUACAUUUUUAAGAUCUGUGAGUAAUAAAACUUUUUAAAACAAUUACUGUAGUUUUUUAAGGAGAUUUUAGCAGUUUCAUCUAUAAGCUGUUUUCCUGGGUUUAUAUUUUCUAACCAUUAUCAUUUUAGUUGAUUUUACUGUUUUAACUUUUUUUUUUUGAUAUUUUGACUUUUUAUGAAAAAAUGUUUUGGCUACAUGCAUGUUUUUGUCCUUUCUAGUGGGUUUAGCUAAUUAAAAUUACCAAUAUAAGUCAUUUUGAACUCUUUUUUCAGAUUUAGCUGCUUUUAUUAAUUGGUUUAGUUUUUUUCAUUUAUUUCAUGUGUCUGGAAGUUGAUUGUACAAACCAUUUUGUGUCACUUUAUUAAAUCUCUGGGAUGUACAGGGUACAAGACUAUGUAAAUGUAGCGAUCUGUGUUUAUUGUGACUUCAGUCUGUAAAUAUGA